rnacentral:lncRNA from 1 species
CGCCAAAGAAACGUUAAGCGAUGGGCUAAUAAUUGCUAUGAUCUUAAAGGGGCUGCCUGAUUCAUAUAAACCGUUCUCGAUACAUGUGACCCAAAGUGCAAGUGAGAUAACGUUCGCGAAGUUUAAGAGCAUGUUGAGGAGCUUCGAAGAAACGGAAAAGCUCAACACCAAACCGAAAGUUGAUCAGGUAAUGAAAGCUGAGUUUCCUUCGCAAACAAUGACAUGUUAUGGCUGCGGGAAAAGAGGGCAUUUAGUCAGAGAGUGCCCUGCUAAGAGCGAGAAGAAGUGGUGUAACUAUCACAAAAGUACAACACACUCGGAUAGCACCUGCAGAAGUCAACAAAAGAGCAAAGACCAAGCCAAACAGGUGUCGGAGAAAGAAAACACCUCUAAAGAUGAACAUUCAUUUGCAUUCAAAGUUAACGACGAAGCAACAGGGAAAAUCAAUCGAAUGGGAAUGUUGGUUGACACAGGUGCCACUUCUCACAUUGUUACUACUGAUAUUUUAAAGCAAAUAGACAUGACAUUUAAACCAUCAAAACAUUUCAUUGAACUGGCUGAUGGCACACGAGCCAGUAAUAUUGCAUUGAAACGAGGGGAUGCUGAAGUGUUUUUGAAAGAUACAAAUGGAAAAUGUGUGAAAACGGUGCUGAAAAACGCCUUAUAUAUACCAUCCUAUCCUCAAGAUAUUUUCUCAGUGAAGGCAGCCACAUCAAAUGGAGCCGAGCUUCGAUUUGCCCAAGAUACUGGUGAGCUAACCCUUGAAGAUGGUACCAUUGUUGAAAUUGAAGAACAUGGACGGUUGUACUAUUUGACUUCCAUAGACAGUCAUGAGAACGAUAGCGUAAGUGAAGUAGAUAAAGUAAAUCUCUCGUAUGAUA